UAACACGUAGGUAACCUGCCCAUGUGUCCGGGAUAACUGCUGGAAACGGUAGUUAAAACCGGAUAGGUAUACAGAGCGCAUGCUCAGUAUAUUAAAGCGCCCUUCAAGGCGUGAACAUGGAUGGACCUGCGGCGCAUUAGCUAGUUGGUGAGGUAACGGCCCACCAAGGCGAUGAUGCGUAGCCGGCCUGAGAGGGUAAACGGCCACAUUGGGACUGAGACACGGCUCAA
rnacentral:rRNA from 1 species